UGUGUGAGCUCGAUGAGUAGGGCGGGACACGUGGUAUCCUGUCUGAAUAUGGGGGGACCAUCCUCCAAGGCUAAAUACUCCUGACUGACCGAUAGUGAACCAGUACCGUGAGGGAAAGGCGAAAAGAACCCCGGCGAGGGGAGUGAAAAAGAACCUGAAACCGUGUACGUACAAGCAGUGGGAGCCCCACCACUAAGCCAGUGGUGAACUCCACAUACGCAUCCUUUGCUGAGGAUACGGUUAACGGAGCGAAAGCGACGUUCAACCGCAAAAGAAGCAGAGGGGGCUUAGUGGUGGGGUGACUGCGUACCUUUUGUAUAAUGGGUCAGCGACUUAUAUUCUGUAGCAAGGUUAACCGMAUAGGGGAGCCGGAGGGAAACCGAGUCUUAAYUGGGCGUUAAGUUGCAGGGUAUAGACCCGAAACCCGGUGAUCUAGCCAUGGGCAGGUUGAAGGUUGGGUAACACUAACUGGAGGACCGAACCGACUAAUGUUGAAAAAUUAGCGGAUGACCUGUGGCUGGGGGUGAAAGGCCAAUCAAACCGGGAGAUAGCUGGUUCUCCCCGAAAGCUAUUUAGGUAGCGCCUCGUGAAUUCAUCUCCGGGGGU
rnacentral:rRNA from 1 species